rnacentral:rRNA from 1 species
CCUACGGGUGGCAGCAGUGAGGAAUAUUGGUCAAUGGGCUUACGCCUGAACCAGCCAAGUCGCGUGAGGGAAGACUGCCCUAUGGGGUGUAAACCUCUUUUGUCAGGGAGCAACGCCGGCUACGUGUAGCCGGACGGAGAGUACCUGAAGAAAAAGCAGCGGCGAACUCCGUGCCAGCAGCCGCGGGAAUAAGGAGGAUGCGAGCGUUAUCCGGAUUGAUUGGGUGUAAGGGGUGCGUAGGCGGAAUGCCAAGUCAGCGGUAAAAUCGCGGGCCUCAACCUCGCUCCGCCGUUGAAACUGGCGUUCUUGAGUGGGCGAGAAGUAUGCGGACUGCGUGGUGUAGCGGU